rnacentral:lncRNA from 1 species
CCUGAGCACCCGGAAAGAAAGGAAUUCCUAUAAAUACACAGAGAGUAGAAAGAAUUUACCAAAGGCCAGUUAAGAGUGAUGGAAAAUACAGACAUCCUAAUUUUGAGAGGCCAAUUAAACAUUCAGGUAAAGAGGGGCAACUAUAUCCUGAAUUAAAGGUAGGGAUUCAGAUAAAUAUUUAAAUUUAGGGAAUUUUCAGCAUACAAAUGGUACCAAAACCAUAAGAAUGAAAGAUCACUCAUUCAUUAAGAAUGAGAAAAGAGGAGGGAUUUGAGGUCUGAGCCUUGGGCAUUCCAAAGUUAAGAAGUGAGGUUACGAAGAAGAACCAGGAAUGGAAAAUGAAAAGGAAAAGCCAGUGAAGUCAAAGGUAAACCAGGUUUGUCCUGGAAGACACGUGAAAGAACUUGCCAAGGAGGAAGUAAUAGUCAAUUUUGUCUGAUUCCACUCAUAGGUCAGACAAACUUCUGUACAAGGGCUGAAGACAGGACAAGAUGUGCUGAUGUAUAAAAAGUCUAAAUCUGCAGCAUAAUCGUGAAGAGAUGAGGAAAGCCACGUACUCAGAGCCUCACUUAAAGGAAAUGAAACAGUAAAACUGAAUCAGAUUUGGCUCUUCACUUCUGCCUUCAGUGCUGUCCAGACUCAGACAUUAUAUCAGUAGGUUUCAGUUUUACUAACCAAUAAGUUCUUUGUGUACUUAAAGUUGGUUGUUUUUUAAUGGGGAUGUGGAAUGGAGGGGUAAAUAUUUUGUGUUUUUUAAUGAGGAAUCCCAAACACUAGAGUUUUUUCUUUAUAUUGCAAAGGCACUGAUGCCCCUUCUCACAAAAUAUUUCAUGCUUCAGUAUUGGCCUAAAGUUGACUAUCUUUAUAUAAAUUAAAAUCUUCUCAUGUUUUAGUGGUGUUUUAGAAGAUCUUGACAUGUUACUUUUUGAAUUAAAGUGAAACGCAUAGCAUAUGGACUCAACAAAACCAUUCUCUGUGAAUAAAAUGUGUCACAUUCUAUAAUAAAACUAUAUAUAGCAUGUUAUUCCAUAUUCUGUAUGAUUAAUUUUAGAGAUUAUAUCUUGAAUUCUGCUAUCAAUCUACAAUGUUUAUUCAUUCAUUCAACAAAUAUUUGUUAAGAACUACUAUGUGUCAAGUACCUAGUUUGCAACAGUGAAUAAACAGAUAUUCUUGAGUUUGUGAAGUUUAUUAUAUUCAAGAGACAGAAAUAUAGAUAGUACACAAUUAACAUAACACCUAAGAAAAGAAUUUAAUAUGUAAUAAGAUCAUAAGUACAAUGAGAAAAAAUGCAUCACAGUAAGGAGACUGGGGAGAGUUUGCAAUGUGAAUCAUGUGGUCAGAGUGAGUCUCAUUGAAAAGUUAACAUUAGAACAAAGACUGGGAGAAGACGCAGUUGUGAGUCAUCUGUGUUCUGCAGCGGGAACGGCAAGUACAAAGGCUCUGAGGAAGGAGGGCGCCUGGAGUGUUUGCAGCAGUGUGAGGAGGUCAGCUUAAAAGUAGAAAUGAGAAGAAGAAUAGAUGAUAGGAUCAGCUGGCUAUGCAAUUUGCAGUGCAAAAUAAAUUUGUGGGGACUCUUGUUAAAAUUUCUUUCUCUUUUUUUAUUAUACUUUAAGUUCUGGGGUACGUGUGCACAACAUGCAGGUUUGUUACAUAGGUAUACAUGUGCCGUGUUGGUUUGCUGCACCCAUCAACUCAUCAUUUACAUUAGGUAUUUCUCCUAAUGCUAUCCCUCCC